UACGUAGGGUGCGAAGCGUUGUCCGGAAUUAUUGGGCGUAAAGAGCUCGUAGGCGGUUUGUCGCGUCUGCUGUGAAAACUCAGGGCUUAACCCUGAGCUUGCAGUGGGUACGGGCAGACUAGAGUGGCGGUAGGGGAGACUGGAAUUCCUGGUGUAGCGGUGAAAUGCGCAGAUAUCAGGAGGAACACCGGUGGCGAAGGCGGGUCUCUGGGCCGUAACU
rnacentral:rRNA from 1 species